UACGUAGGGUGCAAGCGUUGUCCGGAAUUAUUGGGCGUAAAGAGCUCGUAGGCGGUUUGUCGCGUCUGCUGUGAAAACGCGAGGCUCAACCUCGCGCCUGCAGUGGGUACGGGCAGACUGGAGUGCGGUAGGGGAGAUUGGAAUUCCUGGUGUAGCGGUGGAAUGCGCAGAUAGUCAGGAGGAACACCGAUGGCGAAGGCAGAUCUCUGGGCCGUAACUGACGCUGAGGAGCGAAAGCGUGGGGAGCGAACAGG
rnacentral:rRNA from 1 species